rnacentral:rRNA from 1 species
AGCACAAGAGAGCUUGCUCUCUGGGUGACGAGCGGCGGACGGGUGAGUAAUGUCUGGGAAACUGCCUGAUGGAGGGGGAUAACUACUGGAAACGGUAGCUAAUACCGCAUGACGUCUUCGGACCAAAGUGGGGGACCUUCGGGCCUCACGCCAUCAGAUGUGCCCAGAUGGGAUUAGCUAGUAGGUGGGGUAAUGGCUCACCUAGGCGACGAUCUCUAGCUGGUCUGAGAGGAUGACCAGCCACACUGGAACUGAGACACGGUCCAGACUCCUACGGGAGGCAGCAGUGGGGAAUAUUGCACAAUGGGCGCAAGCCUGAUGCAGCCAUGCCGCGUGUAUGAAGAAGGCCUUCGGGUUGUAAAGUACUUUCAGCGAGGAGGAAGGCAUUAAGGUUAAUAACCUUGGUGAUUGACGUUACUCGCAGAAGAAGCACCGGCUAACUCCGUGCCAGCAGCCGCGGUAAUACGGAGGGUGCAAGCGUUAAUCGGAAUUACUGGGCGUAAAGCGCACGCAGGCGGUUUGUUAAGUCAGAUGUGAAAUCCCCGAGCUU